CACCUGCCAGGUGAGCAGAUGGACUGGAUGGAGAAAGGUUCACCAUUACAAUGAUCCGAACUCUCCGAGCCUUCCUUUGCUUCCUGGUGUAAAUUGAUCGUCUUUGAGAGGAAGAGCAUCGAUCUUCCUGGAAAACAAGGCCCUUCUGUGCAUGCUGAGGAGAGUGGGCAAAAACAAGCAGAUGACCGUUUUAACAAGCCUGUGUUUAUACGUGUCAGCUGGAAUCAAUGGCGGGGAGACGGACGGCGCGUCAACCCUUCAGGCUGCACGCGCAUUGUUCUGGAUUUACACGCUGCAGAGCUGCAGCUCAGACCGGAUGCUGCAGUCGACUGAAGGUGAAGCGCUUGUGUUGCCCUCUAGCACCUUCACAUGGACACUUGGAGCUACAGCCGCUACGCUUAGACACAUUUCAGUCUGUGUUGAUGGAUGUUUGGAGCAAAAAUAAGAAAGUAGGAAGAGAAAUCUUCAUGAUGUGACUGAAUGCUGAAUUUACUUUUAGAGCUUGUUCCAGAUCGUUAUAGAAAGAACAAAUUGUCAUUACUGGUUUCAAAAACUUUAAUAGAAUCUUGACCAUAAUAAAGACUUACAGUUCA